AUUGAACGCUGGCGGCAGGCCUAACACAUGCAAGUCGAGCGGAUGAAGGGAGCUUGCUCCUGGAUUCAGCGGCGGACGGGUGAGUAAUGCCUAGGAAUCUGCCUGGUAGUGGGGGAUAACGUCCGGAAACGGGCGCUAAUACCGCAUACGUCCUGAGGGAGAAAGGGGGGGUUCUUCGGACCUCACGCUAUCAGAUGAGCCUAGGUCGGAUUAGCUAGUUGGUGGGGUAAAGGCCUACCAAGGCGACCAUCCGUAACUGGUCUGAGAGGAUGAUCAGUCACACUGGAACUGAGACACGGUCCAGACUCCUACGGGAGGCAGCAGUGGGGAAUAUUGGACAAUGGGCGAAAGCCUGAUCCAGCCAUGCCGCGUGUGUGAAGAAGGUCUUCGGAUUGUAAAGCACUUUAAGUUGGGAGGAAGGGCAGUAAGUUAAUACCUUGCUGUUUUGACGUUACCAACAGAAUAAGCACCGGCUAACUUCGUG
rnacentral:rRNA from 1 species